AAAUUCCUAACGGUGUCAAAC
rnacentral:miRNA from 1 species